UGGUGUCAAAAUCUGCAAUGGAGUCCUUUAUAAACAAAGCUGUAUAUCUCUUGGAGGGGAGCAACUGGCCCAACAAACUGCUGUUGAAUCGAACCACAAACAAGAAUGGACGGGCUGCGUUCUCCCUAAACACUGCUAAUCUUAAGGCUGAUCUGAAUCUGGUGGCGAGUGCUAAUCCAGAGGUUUUUUUUAUGGUUAUAAAUCGCCAUACUUCACUGCAGAUACAAGUGACCGUGGCGUAUUCAUUUGUUGGAGAGGCUGGUAGCUACAGCGCUGACAAUCUAUAUGGUCUUAUCCAAAGGAGUGAUCAUCCUCAAUGGAUUUCAGACGGUUAAAGCAAAGGCUGGUGAUGCAGUCACAAGUGGCUCUGUGAUGUUCCAGUUGUCUGUCAGCGUUGAUUAUGGCUCCAGCAGUGCAGAUUCUGGUCUACAGCGUUCUUCCCAGUGAGAAUGUAGUUGCUGCUAGUGUGCCGUUUGGGACUGAAAUGUAUUUCCAGAACCAGGUGUCUCUGCAGUUUUCUCCGGCUACGGCGGUUCCUGCGGAGGGAAACGUUCUGACGGUUUCUGCUCAAGCAGGAUCUCUGUGUUGCCUCAGUGCUGUUGAUCAGAGCAUCCGGAUCAUGGAGCCAGGAAGACGUCUGAGAGCUGAGAGGCUGUCUGUGUGCCUCAAUCAGGUUUUUUGUUUGGGCUUUUAAUCUGGAUAUUUCAGUGUGUGGCACUUCUGAUUAGAAUGCCACUUCAGUUUAUCCCAGUGUCUGAAGUACAAGGGCCUGAAUUUUUAUCACGACUUCAGUGUCGGUAUGUCUGUUAGUUAGAUUUUUUGCUCUAGAAAUUGGUACGUGGCUUAAAGAUAAAAUGGAAAAAUGUAGUCUUGUGUUGUAAUCUUUUAAUAUGACGGCCGGAAGGACGGGCGUCCGUCCGUGCGUGCGUUUGUCUGUGCGUGCGUUUGUCCGUCCAAUCCUUCACAAAGACCCAGGCACCGCAGAAUGGAGUAGCCAUGGAGUGAAGAGUCCCAACACUAGUCUCCCAAGUUUUUGAGGUGGAAAAAAUACGGUAAGUUGUUGUGUAAGGGAAGUUCAAUGACAGAUCUGAGGCCUUAAUCUAAAGCGCUUUGUUUCUGGUUUAGUUUUGCCCAAGUUUGACGUGACUGUAAACGUGUUGCAGUUAUGGGACUGAAAGUUGAGUCUUGUGCCAGAUGAAUGCCACGGGCUGUGCCUCUAUUACUGUUGAUGCGUCAGUGUUUUUCAACACCAAAUUUGAAGACCAAAUACAAGACACAUUUCUUGUAAAUGUGAAUGUUACUGAGGAGGGAACAGAUGUAAUGGUGUCAAUCUGCAAUGGUGUCCCUUAUAAACAAAGCUGUAUAUCUCUUGGAGGGGAGCAACUGGCCCAACAAACUGCUGUUGAAUCGAACCACAAACAAGAAUGGACGGGCUGCGUUCUCCCUAAACACUGCUAAUCUUAAGGCUGAUCUGAAUCUGGUGGCGAGUGCUAAUCCAGAGGUUUUUUUUAUGGUUCUAAAUCGCCAUACUUCACUACAGAUACAAGUGACCGUGGCGUAUUCAUUUGUUGGAGAGGCUGGUAGCUACAGCGCUGACAAUCUAUAUGGUCUUAUCCAAAGGAGUGAUCAUCCUCCAUGGAUUUCAGAUGGUUAAAGCAAAGGCUGGUGAUGCAGUCACAAGUGGCUCUGUGACGUUCCAGUUGUCUGUCAGCGUUGAUCUGGCUCCAGCAGUGCAGAUUCUGGUCUACAGCGUUCUUCCCAGUGAGAAUGUAGUUGCUGCUAGUGUGCCGUUUGGGACUGAAAUGUAUUUCCAGAAGAGGGUGUCUCUGCAGUUUUCUCCGGCUACGGCGGUUCCUGCGGAGGGAAACAGUUUCUG